rnacentral:rRNA from 1 species
CCUUGACAUACUAAGAACUUUCCAGAGAUGGAUUGGUGCCUUCGGGAACUUAGAUACAGGUGCUGCAUGGCUGUCGUCAGCUCGUGUCGUGAGAUGUUGGGUUAAGUCCCGNAACGAGCGCAACCCUUUUCCUUAUUUGCCAGCGGGUCAUGCCGGGAACUUUUAAGGAUACUGCCAGUGACAAACUGGAGGAAGGCGGGGACGACGUCAAGUCAUCAUGGCCCUUACGGCCAGGGCUACACACGUGCUACAAUGGUCGGUACAAAGGGUUGCUACCUCGCGAGAGGAUGCUAAUCUCAAAAAGCCGAUCGUAGUCCGGAUCGCAGUCUGCAACUCGACUGCGUGAAGUCGGAAUCGCUAGUAAUCGCGGAUCAGAAUGCCGCGGUGAAUACGUUCCCGGGCCUUGUACACACCGCCCGUCACACCAUGGGAGUUUGUUGCACCAGAAGUAGGUAGUCUAACCGCAAGGAGGACGCUUACCACGGUGUGGCCGAUGACUGGGGUGAAGUCGUAACAAGGUAAGCGUAGAUGA